ensembl:lncRNA
AUUAUAAAGCAGCAUCCGUGCUUGACAUCCAGCACAACAUAACAGAGUGCUUAUGGGCAUAGGCUCGGGAAGUAAAAAAUAUGAUAUAUAUAAUAAUAAAUAAAUGUAAUACAAAGAAAUAUAUAGUGCACUGGGCCUUUACUAGUUCUGUAUUAGUGGAGUCUGUAGUGCAGGCAAAAAAGAACAAUUCCCACCGCAGUAUUGGAAGAGCUUGUACUACAAAUUCAUCAGUGAGCCUACCUAGAUCUGCCCUUGCUUUAGGUGCACGACGCAGGCGUAGGCCUCACUGCAGGUACAACAGGACGAUAAGGAAGGAGAUCAAGAGAGAAUGCUAAUCCUGGUGUCCAGUAGAUAGAUACAAAAGAGUGACUGUGUCAAGGGGGCCUGGCAUGCAAGGCUUAGAGCCCACCAGAUUACCUGCCGCCCCAGAUCCCCAGCCUCCUGCCCAGGAUGGCUUUCCUCAUGAGGGUUGACUUCCAUAGAGCGGAUCCUGACACAGAUGUUGUGGAGCUGGUGAACGAAUGUGGAAGUACAACCAAACCUACCAGCUUGCCCAGGGUACCACCACUUCCUUCUUACCACCACACGGCUCUAUUUCCAUGUUUACGGCUUGUUUACGGAAGCGUCUUUGAAUGACCGUGUGUAACGGAUGGACGGCAGAAAGUUGUUGAAACUGAGAAGUACUGUUGGCUGCAACUGUGUUAAAGGGAAAUAAAUAAAACAACGUCUACUUCAUAUCUAUCAUCUCCAGCACCACCCCCAACAAUCUCAAUUGCGAUAAUACUUUCAUAUCACAUCAAAUGCAAAAGAAUACAUAUUUCCUGUACAGUGUUUAAAAGAGACAUUUUUUUUUAAAUCCACUGCAUUAUCUCCAGCAUCACCCCAACAUCAACAUGAAGAUUGCACGUUUCUAUGUUUUGUAGUAAAAAAUAUAGAGGAAGAUAACCA